AUCGACCUGUCUCAUUCUUCGGUCAAGAAUUUCCAGGUUGCAUGGUUGAGAAUAGCAUUACGUAAUUUCUCAUAAAUUCAUAUAAUUUUAGGAAUCCUGAUGUAUGGACUAGUAACUUGUUAUACCUAUGAUCUGCCAUAACUUGUCGUAUCUCCCGAUAUGUGAUAGAGUUUAAUAUAUCUCUACUACUUAAAAAAUCCGUAGUGGUGGUCUUGAUUCCUGACAUAGCAGACGCAUCUGACAGACACGCGUAAUCUCAACCAUCCAAUUUGCAUAUCCAAGUAUCCAACGACCGAUCUCCUCCCCACGCUCGCUCCUCUCUCGGAUCCGCGUCCUUCGCCCUCCUCCCUACGUCGCCUCCUCACCUCGCCCAAUCGCCCCAGCCGGCGACGCUGCCGCUGCCCACCCGCAACCGCCGCCAACGCCGCCGCCGUCGACUCCGCUCCAGAUCACGCCGACGGGUCUACUCCUACUCCUUCUCCUCCCCGCCGCCGACGCCGACUCCUCUGCACACCUGCCACGCGCGCUGCCCACCCACCUCCGUCGGCGACUACUACUCCUCGAGAUCGCCAUCGUCGCCCGCGGCUCGCAACGCCGUCGACGCCGCCUUCGAUCUCCGCCACUAGAUCGACUCGCGACGCCGGCGGCGACCUGUCAUCGCGCCGCCUCGUAUCGCCAUUGAGGUCGUCAUCGUGCCGCCGCCGAUUUCCGCCUCCAGAUCGCCGACGCCAGCUUCUGGGCGACCUCCCAAAUCACACAGCCAUCGGUCUCCUCCCACAUCGCCUUCCCCUACGCCGGUCGAUCGGGAUCUUCGUUGUAAUUUUUGAUAAGAAGCUAGAGGCAAAACAUUCAGCCUCCACAGCCGAACGCCGGGAAGGCCUCGCCGCCCUUUCCCCUGAUCGACUACUCGAUCUGCCUACACACAUGGCCUACGACAAGUCUGCCUGGACUCGGUGAGCAGUUUUCUUUUUGCUUAUAUAUACUUGCAGCUUAAUUUUCCUCUCUCCCACUAAUAGCAUACAUCAGUGAGAUAAUUGAAAUCAGAUUAUGUGCAUGUGUGACGCAAAAUUUAUUAUAUAAAUGGACUUCUCAUUCGAUUGCCGUCUCCAGCAUAAUGUAAAUAAUCCUGAUAUUAAAUUAUCAAUGGCUAUUAUGCAUUUGUUCAGCCAUCACUCCCCCAUUGUGUCGCCUCCUCAUCCUGCCGCCUCGCCUCUCGACGCCGCCACCGUAGGAUUCGUGAGCUCCCCCUGGAUAUGGCUGCAUCGACGAGAUACAAUUUCCACUUUUAGCGGUUUCUUCAUCUACCAAGAGUUCACGUGUAUUGUGUUGGCUUGGGGAUUCAAUCUUGUUCUAAUUUGUCUUUGUUCUUUUCUUUUUGGCAGACUGUAUUCUCUGCUCCAAAAAUCCCAUUGAAGACUGUAUUCUCUGCUCCAAAAAUUCCAUUGAGGGUGAUAUAGUGCUCUGUUGCAUCCUUCAGAAAUCACAGGCAAUACAACUGGUCACAAAGUUAUAUUCUGAUCAAAGAUAGAUGGGGGGAGUAUAUAUAUACUAUAAGUGUGAACUUUGAAAUGCCAAAUUGCAAUCCCAUUUUCUGAUGCUUAUUAUAGAUUGCAGGUUGCGAGCUUCUCUCUCAGAAGGACUGUCAAGUUGCCAGGUAAUAGCUGUGAAAGUGCAUGAAAUUUGAGGAGAAUGGUUGACUUUAAGUACAAUAACUAUAUCAUAAUGUAUGCAACUAAUCAAAUUUCUCAUCAUUGCAAAAGGUUUGGACUGCAACACCUGAACAACUGACUCUUGGAGAUAGAUUACUGAACAACUGAACUCUGCUUGUGAAUACUUGUGUAGUUUCUGAUUUGUUUAGGUCUGAAAGCUUUUGCUCAACCUAAUUGUGUAGAAAAGUGCAUAUGCGGUGCAAUUUAGGUAACCAAAGUUCAGACGAAGCCAUAUAAAGCAAGGUGACACAUAAAGUGCUCUUGCUGUUUUACUUUUAAAAAAAAAUUCUCAACUUUGCCCUUUGCAUCGCAUCUGACACUAACUUAGCCUGCUGCUCUAGGUAAACUGAUCGCAUUCCUCCUUGUUCUGUGUUUUGUUUUGUGAUCACAUUCCUCCUUUCUUAAUAAUGGUAUAUAAUUUAGUUUUAGUUUCAGAUGCCUGGGGUUUCUUACUUUGUCAAGUUUAUAAAUUUUACUGUCUGGAGAACUCCAAAAUCAGCUAAAUCAUGUGCAAAAAUGGCACAUAAUACAGGACUGAUAUAGCUGUUUUAUUUGAAGCAGCUGACAGGGAUAACAUAGGGGGAUUUGCCUAUAGACAGAGAUCCAUAUGUUCUAUGCCUUUGGUAUACUGUUGGGAUGCAAACAAGGUAAUCAGGAGGCCAUCCUCUGAUGAUCCUGAUUGGCCUUUUGUGCCAUAUGCCACUUCAAUGCCAACUACCUUUCAGUGAAAUUAGAUGAUUAGGGAGUUUGCAUUACUAAGACAGGCAUUCAUUUUCUGUGAUUGAAAACUAAGAAGCCUUUCUAUGUAAAUUAGUUUUAGUAUCA